rnacentral:rRNA from 1 species
AGAGUUUGAUCCUGGCUCAGGACGAACGCUGGCGGCGUGCCUAAUACAUGCAAGUCGAGCGGAUCUUCUCCUUCGGGAGAAGGUUAGCGGCGGACGGGUGAGUAACACGUAGGCAACCUGCCUGCAAGACUGGGAUAACAUUCGGAAACGAAUGCUAAGACCGGAUACGCAAGUCUGAGGCAUCUUAGACUUGGGAAAGACGGAGCAAUCUGUCACUUGCAGAUGGGCCUGCGGCGCAUUAGCUAGUUGGUGAGGUAACGGCUCACCAAGGCGACGAUGCGUAGCCGACCUGAGAGGGUGACCGGCCACACUGGGACUGAGACACGGCCCAGACUCCUACGGGAGGCAGCAGUAGGGAAUCUUCCACAAUGGGCGAAAGCCUGAUGGAGCAACGCCGCGUGAGUGAGGAAGGCCUUCGGGUCGUAAAGCUCUGUUGCCAGGGAAGAACAAGCGGGAGAGUAACUGCUCUUGCAAUGACGGUACCUGAGAAGAAAGCCCCG